GUAUUGUGUGAAUAGAGAGAAAAUUGGCACUCCCCUUAACAAGGAUGGCAGAGGCUCUUGGGCCUGACACUAUGCAUACAGUUUUAAGGCAUUGUUGCCUAUUUUGUGGCAUCUAGCCACUGUUUUUU